GACGAACGCUGGCGGCGUGCCUAAUACAUGCAAGUCGAACGCAGUGGGGACGGGUGAGUAACACGUGGGUAACCUGCCAUCAGAGGGGAUAACACUUGGCAACAGGUGCUAAACCGAUACGGAUGUAGGAACCCGCUGGGCAUUAGCUAGUUGGUGGGGUAACGGCUCACCAAGGCCACGAUGCCUAGCUGAGCUGGGGGGGUGCUCGGCCACACUGGGACUGAGACACGGCCCAGACUCCUACGGGAGGCAGCAGUAGGGAAUCUUCUGCAAUGGACGAAAGUCUGACCGAGCAACGCCGCGUGAGUGAAGAAGGUUUUCGGAUCGUAAAACUCUUUUGUUAAGGAAGCGGUAUCUAACCAGAAAGCCACGGCUAACUACGUGCCAGCAGCCGCGGUAAUAC
rnacentral:rRNA from 1 species